UAGAUGCGCGGAGAAGAAAAACUCACCGUGUACGGAGCAGAAACCCGAGAAGAAGAUUCGGAUCUCUCCAUCGAGGCGUUGAGAAAAGCGAUCAUACGAGAAGAAGGUUGAAGAAAAACGAUAGUGGAGAGCUUUUCAGGUUGAAGAAAAAAAGAUAGUGGCGAGCUUUUCUGAUAAAAUAGUGGUCAGAGUCUUUUGAAAAACGCUUAUCAUGCGAUGCCAAUGUAACAGGAAACGCCUCGUGCUGGGACCCAAAAAUAUCAAUAUUCUGAACAACCGUUUAUUGAGCAACUCGAUUAUAAUUUUUAUGUGAUUAAUUUACUUUAA